rnacentral:rRNA from 1 species
GAGUUUGAUCCUGGCUCAGGAUGAACGCUGGCGGCGUGCCUAAUACAUGCAAGUCGAGCGAACAGACGAGGAGCUUGCUCCUCUGACGUUAGCGGCGGACGGGUGAGUAACACGUGGAUAACCUACCUAUAAGACUGGGAUAACUUCGGGAAACCGGAGCUAAUACCGAAUAAUAUAUUGAACCGCAUGGUUCAAUAGUGAAAAACGGUUUUGCUGUCACUUAUAGAUGGAUCCGCGCCGCAUUAGCUAGUUGGUAGGGUAACGGCUUACCAAGGCGACGAUGCGUAGCCGACCUGAGAGGGUGAUCGGCCACACUGGAACUGAGACACGGUCCAGACUCCUACGGGAGGCAGCAGUAGGGAAUCUUCCGCAAUGGGCGAAAGCCUGACGGAGCAACGCCGCGUGAGUGAUGAAGGUCUUCGGAUCGUAAAACUCUGUUAUUAGGGAAGAACAAAUGUGUAAGUAACUAUGCACGUCUUGACGGUACCUAAUCAGAAAGCCACGGUCUAACUACGUGCCAGCCGCCC